UUGCUUCUCUCUCUCUUAUAGUUUCCUAUCUUCUAUUGCUUCUCUCUCCUGGCAGGGUUUUAAAACGAAAUCCGCAUACUUGUAUGCUUGCUUUUCCAAGAGAAGCAAAAGCACUUUGUUCGUUAUCGAUGACAGAGAUCUACAUCACUUUGGUGAUGAGAUGCUGCUACGGUUUAAACCCCUCGUUUUGGCAUCUUUGAGUUAAACAGAAGGCUAUGCAACUCUUUAAGAGGAUCAUCAUGAUAGAUCUUCCUAGUGGAGAGAUUAGGACUCUUCUGUUGAAGGAGUUCAUCCUUCAACAUGAACUUCUAACUUUGACUUUAAGAAAUGGGCAUAUAUUACAUACUCUUUCUCUGUCAAAGACCUAAAGGUUUUUUGUCAAAUCCGAAGAGACGUGCUUGUCUAUCUCAAGCGGAUUUCGCAGCCGCUUGUGAUAUGAUUACUCCAAGUUCGACAAUAUCAUAUUUGGAGACCCUUCAACAAUGGAGAAAAAACAAAUUGUUUUAAGAAGUUUUAACAUCAUU